rnacentral:rRNA from 1 species
UACGAAGGGGGCUAGCGUUUUUCGGAAUUACUGGGCGUAAAGCGCACGUAGGCGGAUUGGCAAGUCAGGGGUGAAAUCCCGGAGCUCAACUCCGGAACUGCCUUUGAUACUGCCUGUCUAGAGUCCGGAAGAGGUGGGUGGAAUUCCUAGUGUAGAGGUGAAAUUCGCAGAUAUUAGGAAGAACACCAGUGGCGAAGGCGGCCCACUGGUCCGGAACUGACGCUGAGGUGCGAAAGCGUGGGGAGCAAACAGG